rnacentral:rRNA from 1 species
GGGUCAGUAGGUUGGUCGUGCCACCGGUACGUACUGGUCUCACUGAUUCCUCCUUCCUGAAGAACCGUAAUGCCAUUAAUUUUGUGUUGCGGGGAAACAGGACUGUUACUUUGAAAAAAUUAGAGUGUUUAAAGCAAGCUAACGCUUGAAUGCAUUAGCAUGGAAUAAUGAAAUAGGACGAUCGAUCCUAUUUUGUUGGUUUCUAGGAUUGACGUA